rnacentral:rRNA from 1 species
UACGAAGGGAGCUAGCGUUGUUCGGAAUCACUGGGCGUAAAGCGCACGUAGGCGGAUGUGUCAGUCAGGGGUGAAAUCCCGGAGCUCAACUUCGGAACUGCCUUUGAUACAGCACGUCUUGAGUCCGGAAGAGGUGGGUGGAAUUCCUAGUGUAGAGGUGAAAUUCGUAGAUAUUCGCAAGAACACCAGUGGCGAAGGCGGCUCACUGGCCCGGUACUGACGCUGAGGUGCGAAAGCGUGGGGAGCAAACAGG